rnacentral:rRNA from 1 species
GGUUGAUCCUGCCAGUAGUCAUAUGCUUGUCCUAAAGAUUAAGCCAUGCAUGUGUACGUUCAAGCCCUUGUACGGUGAAACUGCGGAUGGCUCAUUAUAUCAGUGAUAAUUUGGUUGGUGGAGAAUACUGUGGAUAACCGUGGUAAUUCUAGAGCUAAUACAUGCAGAUCAGACGCAAGUCUGGCAUUUAUUAGAUAAAGCCUUGGCGGGGGGUGAUUAAGUUUGCCUCUUGCGCAGGUGAGUAAUGAUAACUGGGCGGAUCGCAGAAUACUGCGACGCACCAAGGAAAUUU